GUUAUAUGAGUAUAUACAGGAUAAUUAUAUUAUAACUAGGUGACCGGUCCGCACCCUGUGCGGGCAUAAGAAAAUUUAAAAUAUGGACUAAAUCUUAUAUAGUUUUAUAAGUAACAGAUUUUAUAAUAUAAUACCACCGUCUUGGGAGAAUUCAUCAGCCAUGGAAAAAACUUGUACUCAAUAUUUGAGAUGGACGAGAGGAAACAAAGUAACUUCAGUAUGAAGAGGUAGAUAUUGUGUGUACGUAUAAUUGCAACGUCCCAAAAUAAUUUGUAUGUUUACGAAGAAACUUUCAUUCAAAAUAUGGAAUAAAUAGUGCAUAGUUUUAGAAGUAUCAGAUUUUAUAUUAUCAUUAAUUAGAAAUGUAUUGUAUAUUUGUCGUAAUUUUUUAAUGUUGGUGAAUAAUAUUUUUUUUCCAUUAAUAAUAAAAAAACAUUUGUGUAGACAUAGUAAAAGAAAACAUAAUAAAAAAAAAUUCAAAAUAUUAUCCAUAAACAAUAUAAAUUAUGAAGUACAAUUGUCGAAAAAUAAAGAAAAAUCAAUUAGAAACCUGCAAAAAAUUAAAUAAAUUUUGUAAGUAAUUUGACGGGUUAACAUUAUUUGAUAGAUUUAUAAGUUUCUAAAUAAAAGUUAACAUGAAAUAACAUUAAAUUGACAGACAGUCAUCGAAAUAGUCAAAAAACGAGAUGCUCCUGAAUACAAUCGGUCUCCUAACUCAUCACUACCCAUCUGGAAAAUACAAAAAAUAAAUAAUUGUAACAGUUUAUAUACUUAAAAUGUUGUAUUUGAAAAGAAAGUAGAUUAAAAUUACAUACCGUGACUACGGAAUAUUCUGAAAAACUUGUGUGUAGACAACAUUCAAUGUUUUUGUCUGCGUUUUCCCUUCUUUACCAGUUAUUAGGAUUUUUAAUCCAGAUCUCGACUUAACUCUUGAAAGUGCAACGUAGAGCUGACCAUGACAGAACACUGGCCUAGGCAGAAACAACCCAACACUUUCCAGUGUUUGACCUUGACUUUUGUUGAUGGUUAUCGCGAAAGCCAAAAUAACUGGAAACUGUCUUCGACGCAUUUGAAAGGAAACUUUGUGUCAGCUGGUGUGACAAACAUUCUAGGGAUCCAAACCGGAUGUCCAACAAUUUUGUUUCCGGUUAUAAUUCUACCUUCUAUCACAUGGGGCAAUAACUGAGUAACAAUUAGCCUAGUACCAUUACAUAAACCAUAUGCAACAUCCAUGUUACGAAGACACAUGAUAGGAGCACCAACCUUGAGCUUCAAACAAUGUCUAGGCAGUCCAACCACUUUAACACUGUUCAAAAACUCUGCAGGAUAUACUACAUUUUCUUCUAUGUCAACAUCGGAUGGGAUAAUACUGUCAGAGCUAAGGUAAACCUUCUCUUCUCCUGAAAGCAUAUGUAAAUCCUUUUGUUUAGUGAUAUAUAAAAAGUUAGUUGAACAUAAGAAUAAAUGAUAAAACAUGUUACCUGGCAACUAAGAAAGCAUGUAAUCAUUUAUUUUAUCCACUUCAUCAUUUGUGGGAGUAAGAAUGGCUCGAUGAAAACUAUAAUAAAUAUAUUGUUACAAAACAUUCAAACCGAACAGAUAGAACGUGUUUACAAUUUAUAUUAUUUAUCAAAACUAUGAUAUUAUUUAUGAUGAUUAAUUUUGUAUAUUAAACUAGAUAGAACGUGUUUACAAUGUCCACAUAAGCCGAACAGAUAUAAAGUAAAUUAUAUAGUUAUAUACUUUUAUAAAUAUACACAAAAUAAUUAUAUUACAUAGUUGAUAUGGUCGUACUAUAUAUAAAAAUAAUAAUUAUAUAAUAGUUAUAUAAAUAUAUGUAUAAUAAUUAUAUUAUAUAGUUGAUAUGGUCGUACUAUAUACAAAAAAAUUCUAUAAUAAAUAUAUAAAUAUAUAUAUAAUAAUUAAAUUAUAUAAUUGAUAUGGUCGUACUAUAUACAAAAGAAAAUAAUAAUUUAAUCAUAUAACUAUAAUUUAAUAGUAUAUACAAAAUAAUUAUAUUAUAGUUAUAUAAGUAUAUACAGGAUAAUUAUAUUAUAAUAGUUGAAAACAAAAGUUUCCAAACAUAUAUUUUGCAUGUUAACCACGCAAUGUGGUUAAAUGUGGCCAUUUAAUAUAAUAGUAUUACAAUUUAAUUGAGUUAAUCACGCAGCGUGAUUUGGAAGAUGUUAACCAGUUUGGUAAGCAACUUAAUUGAGUUAAUCUUAUUAUAUAAAGUAGAGUUUCUUCUCUCCAGGACCCUCCACAUCAGCAGACACGUCACAAAUUCGGCUCACAAGAGCCUGACACGUGUCCCUUCUUGCAAUACACUGCGUUUCAUUAAUGAGACAUUGGGCUCCUGCAUUCCAUUGUUUGUUUUGAUUACCGAGUUAAGCCUGAUACCCAGAGGCCCAUAUAUUGUUCAUGAACAACACGUUGUUUUAAGGUUUGGCCUCUUCUUAACACCAAAAAAGAGUUCAUCUGCGUUGUUCCGUUUCCUCUUCUUCUUUUGUUUUUUUUAUCACUGUUCCGUUUCCUCUUAUAAUCAGUUGAAAAACUGAGAGUUACAGAUCAAUGUGAAGCACUAUCUGACAUUAAAGGCGUGUCUACUCUCUGUAAGAAGGUGUAUCUACACCUAUAUAAAGGUUAUCAUUCUUCACUUGAAUAUCUAUACAUGUCCGUUUCUUCUCGAUCAGACCAAGCUCUCUCUACUUUACGGUUAUAUGGAAGCGAUCUCUGCUUCACUUCAAAACCCUAAUCUUAUCCCCAAGAUCUCUCACUCUUCUGGUCCUCUUUCUGCAACCACCGUGGAGAUUCCGAAGCCUGCUUUCGUUUCUGUAGAGAAGGUGCCGGCUAAAUCUCCAACGAAAAGAUCCUCUGUGUCUGAUAAUGGAGGAGACGAGACUGAUUUGCCAACCACCACGAGUGAGAUCAUUCUUUCAAGAUGCUAAGUGAGUUACUGGAAACUGGGAUCUGAAACAAUCCGAGGCAAAACAGAUCGGGAUUCGGCGAUAGUUCAUGAGACAAAGAGGAGAAAGUGGCUUGAAGAUAACUCAGAAACAACUACUAACGGUUUUUUUCUCUUUGAUACCUCGAUUAUCCAAUGGUGGGCAUGGAUGAAGCAAUAUCAUCACAAGAAUAUCAACUCAUCAAUUAACGGUGAAAUUUGAAGUUUUUGUCUUGCAGGUCGUGCUGCAGUGAUAGGGUUCUUCAUGGCUUACACUUUUGUUCCUGUCAUGAAUCCGGAUUUUUUUUCGUAUUGAAAUCUAGAGGUCUGUUUGAAAUUUGUAGGUUGAAAAAGGGUUUAAAGAUGUUGUCCAAGAGAUUGAAUCUGAAGUUAGCUGCAAGCUGGAGGAAGGUAAACCUGGGAUGCCAUUAGAUAAGAGAUUCAUCACGAGUUUAUUGAGUUUAUACCUUCUGUGCUUUCAGUUUUCACCAGAAGGAUAGGAGACGAUACACCAGGUUGCAGCAUGUGAUUUUUGAGUUAGAAGCUUCAGAAUUGGUUGGAUCAAUUAAUAGACCACGUGCCUGGCCAGCCUUUCGAGCGUAUGGUUUGGAGUUAACUGAAGUGCUGAGUAAUCUUACAGAUUGGAAGGUGAAUAUGGUGAUAAGAGAGGCUAACUGGGGUGCUUUCUUGAUUGCUCAAAGCGUGACAAAGGAGAUGAGACUUCAGUCCUAUGUGGCCCAGGGUAAUCCUUCUUUGUUACAUGGUUUGCUUGCAGAGGAAGGUAUGGGGAACAGCGUGUAACAGAUGAUGGUGGAGUUGAAUGUCUAUGGUGAAGCUAUGUGUUUUUGGAGAGAAGGUGGAGUUUUAAGCUCUUAGCGUUUCUAUUCGCUUUUUAGUUUUUAGUGUAAUUUCAAUUGUUGUUUGAGGUUCCUUUUGAAUCUUUAUGGUGUUUUUGACACUUUCCAUUUCCUCAAGAGUAAAAAAAAUUGGUUUGUGUUUCAUGGCCUGAUUUGUAAGAUUUAAAUAUAAAGUUUUGGUCUUUUGGGUGGUA